CAACGGCUCUCGCGUAGAAGCCCUUCCUAGCCUUUUCGAAGUCAUUGUGUCAGAUAGUCGAAAUUAGGGGAACGCAAUGGCCGUCGCUUCCACACCCCAAUCUCGAUUUGAAAUAGACGCCGCUCGGUGAAGACGAAGCCAUGUCGAGGAGUUCAUAUCUCCCAAGAAGAAGGCCACUCUGCCGAUGAGUGUGAAGUUCGAUAGGAAAUUAUCCGCGGGUAGUAUAUCCCCAACCGAUGCACAAAUUUCAUCGAAGAAAUUGAAUACAGAAUGGCAGACUAGGGAUACGAACAUAGGGUUGAUGAUGAUACAGUUCAAGGCCUCAUGGAAAUGCCUGAGCGCAGCAGCAGAGUUCACUCUGAGCCCCAGGAUCCUUCACAUUGCACUCAAAGUACCCCAAAUAUGGCCACAUAGUAGUCAUCCUUACCGAACCAAUUUCAUAUGAGCUUCAGCCAGCCUCAUCAUCCGGUGCAGUACUUUAUGCAACACAAUGACCCAUGAUUCUACCAAAACAUGUGGACUGUCAGGCUGCCAGGUAGCUGGUUGCAGCAUGCUCAACAUGAUACCCAAUUAUCGUAGGCCCACACCACUCUAUUGACUACAAACUGUCGGCUUUUUUCAAAUGAUACUCCUGGCAAAAGCAUCCCCGCAGGCAGGGGUAAGGGAACAAUCAAAGUUCAAAUAAAAACUGGAAUGCUGAUGAGGAUGUGCAGCUGGCUACGGCGUGGUGCAACGUAUCAACCAAUGUCCUGGUAGGUGUAGGCCAAAAGAGAGAGAAGCUUUGGGAUCGUGUACGUGUACGUGAUGAUUUUGCAUGGCUGAUGGAAAAGAUUCACAGAGUACCGAGGGAUGAAAAUAAAAGAACCCCGGGAGCAUGCGAGAAUAGGAUGACGGAGAUCAAAUCACAAUGCAGUAAACGGACUGCAAUACGAGUUCAUGCUGAGGGACAGUACCGGAGUGGGUGGAGUUCGGCUGAUUUUGAACACUACUGCGAACAAUUUUUUGUUGAAAAGAAUCAGAUCAGUUUUAAGCAUCAUGCGUGUUGGCGUAUUCUAAAGGAUCAACCAAAGUGGAUGGAGUUUGUAACGGGUAAGACAAGGUGCCACAUUCAAGCGAGAAUGAAAGAGGGUGUGAGCGACGCACCAUCCGGAGGGAGGCGCACGAUCAAUCACCCAUAACCCCAAUAGACCUCUCUCAAUAGGAAAUGCAUGUGGACGCUGAGGGUUCCAAUAAAAGGCCUGGCCGGACGGAGUUAAGUGGGCCUGCAGCGGUAGAUAUGGAUCGGCCACUCAGGGUUAAAAAGGCAAAGAAUGUCCACAAAGUUAAUAACCAACGUCAACAUAGGAUCAGGCAAUAUGAAGAGUCACAAACCUCAGUAACACGGAGCAUCACUGGCAGUCUCAUGGCUCUUGAUUCGUCACAAGCGGACAGAUGGUCUAAGAUGGAGGAGAUCGAAUCAAAGCGGGAAAAGAUGAUAGACGAAAGAUCAAGCGAACAUGUAUAUUAUUUUUGCCAUCCAUUAUUUAUUGAGCCAAUACAAGCUUGAUAAUAUGUUCUCAAA